GUCACCUUGUAUUUUGUUAAGUGAAACACGAACUGCUCGGUGAUAAAGUUCUGGUGGACAGACUGCACAGCGUUACUACCUUAUAUAAUAAUAACCGACGAGGACAAAAUAAGGGAAACACCACAUGAAAAAACAACUUCCGCUCUGCAGCAUCACAUCACAUCACAUCACAUCACAUCACAGCUACAGAGAGGCAGCUGUUGGGUUAUUAUCUGGACUGACAGCUGUGAUUUGUCUGCCAGCUUCAGAGGAGACACAUCCACUUCCAGCAUGAGUGAGAUAACAGACUUUGACAGAGGCCAGAUUGUCGGUGCACAACUUGCAGGUCUGUCAGCCAGCAAAACUGCCCAGUUGUGUGACGUAUCGAGUCGAACUGUCCUCAAAGUCAUGAGUGUCUAUAACACACAUGGACAGACUUCAUCAGCAAAGAAGAACAGUGGGCACAAGCCAGACAGGAGAAGGAAAAGACUGACAAAAGCUGCUGCUAAUGAAGAAGCUGCCGGUGGGAAACCAGUAUCUGACCCCGAGGUCGACACACAAAACCCUGAUGAGGAGACCAAGAGACCUGAAUCCCAGACCAAAGACAAAGACUCAUUUUAGUCUGAUGUGCUGUGUUUCAGGCUUUCCAAUGUAUUAGCACUGGUUAAUGUUUGCAUAAAGCCACAACUCUAACCCACAAUUUUGCUCACUUUUGUUUAUUAAAGGACCUGUUUGUAACUUC